UACGUAGGGUGCAAGCGUUGUCCGGAAUUAUUGGGCGUAAAGAGCUCGUAGGCGGUUUUGUCGCGUCUGCUGUGAAAUCCCGAGGCUCAACCUCGGGUCUGCAGUGGGUACGGGCAGACUAGAGUGUGGUAGGGGAGAUUGGAAUUCCUGGUGUAGCGGUGGAAUGCGCAGAUAUCAGGAGGAACACCGAUGGCGAAGGCAGAUCUCUGGGCCAUUACUGACGCUGAGGAGCGAAAAGCAUGGGGAGCGAACAGG
rnacentral:rRNA from 1 species